rnacentral:rRNA from 1 species
UACGGGGGGGGGCAAGCUUGUUCGGAAUUACUGGGCGUAAAGGGCUCGUAGGCGGCCAACUAAGUCAAACGUGAAAUCCCUCGGCUUAACCGGGGAACUGCGCUUGAUACUGGAUGGCUUGAGAUUGGGAGAGGGAUGCGGAAUUCCAGGUGUAGCGGUGAAAUUCGUAGAUAUCGGGAGGAACACCGGUGGCGAAGGCGGCGACCUGGGUCGAUACUGACGCUGAGGUGCGAAAGCGUGGGGAGCAAACAGGAUA